rnacentral:rRNA from 1 species
UGGGGAAUAUUGCACAAUGGGCGCAAGCCUGAUGCAGCCAUGCCGCGUGUGUGAAGAAGGCCUUCGGGUUGUAAAGCACUUUCAGCGAGGAGGAAGGUGGUGAGCUUAAUACGCUCAUCAAUUGACGUUACUCGCAGAAGAAGCACCGGCUAACUCCGUGCCAGCAGCCGCGGUAAUACGGAGGGUGCAAGCGUUAAUCGGAAUUACUGAGCGUAAAGCGCACGCAGGCGGUUUGUUAAGUCAGAUGUGAAAUCCCCGGGCUCAACCUGGGAACUGCAUUUGAAACUGGCAAGCUAGAGUCUCGUAGAGGGGGGUAGAAUUCCAGGUGUAGCGGUGAAAUGCGUAGAGAUCUGGAGGAAUACCGGUAGCGAAGGCGGCCCCCUGGACGAAGACUGACGCUCAGGUGCGAAAGCGUGGGGCAGCAAACAGGAUUAGAUACCCUGGUAGUCCACGCUGUAAACGAUGUCGAUUUUGGAGGUUGUGCCCUUGAGGCGUGGCUUCCGGAGCUAACGCGUUAAAUCGACCGCCUGGGGAGUACGGCCGCAAGGUUAAAACUCAAAUGAAUUGACGGGGUCAUAGCUGUUUCCU